UUUGGUUUUACAGCUGUGUAAGAGCUAAAAGCAUAAGAGAUUUAUACUUACUUUUAUGUUUGUAUAUAUUUAAGUAACAAUAUGAUCAAAAUAAUUCUUAUCAACACUGGGGGUCUGCAAUGAUAGCUUUCCCUUUAGAAGGCAUGUUUUAGUCAACUUUAGGAAUCACUGAGACUGCGCCACAGCACACUGCUCAAUGCACAAGAGGGAUUGCAUUUGAACAGUACUAGGUGGGAUUGGAUCCAGCCCAGUAUGUUGUGGGAAGGGCAUGUGGGGAAAAAAUUCCCCUGGGAAUUUAGGUCCAGGCUUUUCAAAGUGCUGGGUUACUUAGUCACCAUCUCAGAUGACUCAGGGACCCCAAUCAGCUACCAAUAUCUUUUGGCUCUCUUUCUGCUGUUCCUUUACCAAACAAUUUCGUGUAAUUCGGUGAUAAGCCACUGAGAGUUCAGACAGAGAUUCUUAACCUGAAUCCUAUAACAAACUUCGCUGGAGGAGAAACCCACAGCCUUCACCAGAGUGUCACCCGCAUGCUUCCAGCAUCCUCAGAGGAUGGGGCCAGCCCCAAAAUGCUGUGGGGGCAAGGGCUGGUGUGUCCCUGGACCUGACUCUGCAGCAGGCACUUUUUUCCUUGCCUUCCACUCCCACGUAAAAGCCGGCAGAGGAAAGAGACUGGAAAAGGCUGGGUCACUUCCCUGAGAUGCACAGCUGGACACUUACAAUAGACAUAGCACUGAAUCUCGUCGAUUGCUGUCAGCUACAGGUCCUCCCCAGCCUGAAGAGCCAAACUGGUUACCACAGAGGUUCUCGAGGAAGGAACCCAGUCCAGGAGGUCAGAGUCUUGGUUUCCCAAGAUGGCCGGACUACUGAGUUGCUGUGUGACCUUACACAAGUGAUUCAAACUCUCUGAAUCUUCCAGAGCUGAUAGAGCCACCGAAGCAGAGAAGGAGUGGGGGAGGAGAAGUCUGCAAGUGUGCACUGGACCGUGUCCUAAAGUGCCAGCCAGAUGGCCAUCUGUGCGCUUUGGCCUCCCCAGUCCUGCCAGGGAAGGAAGUAUGAAGCCAAAGCCAGAUGAGAGUGAAGACCUGGCCAACAGCCUCUCUGCAGACCCUGCCAAGCACAUGCCACCCCCUCGGUCAUGUGCACACACACACCUGCACACACACACUCUGCUCAGUCCUUCAGCUGGUCAGCGCUGAUGGCUCUUGUGGGGGGCCUCUGCUCUGUCCCGAUCCACCCAUGCUCACAGUCCCCCCUGCAGAAGCACUAGUAAUGCUCAGAGGACUUUCCAAAGCCCCUACGGAACCCAGGGACUGCUCACCCGUGGCUGUUGGUUAUGUCAGAUAUCGGAGAACCAGCCCCAAAGACAGGCUACUGUUGUGGGAAAGCCCAGAACAUAAGACUGCAAGGUCUGGUUCUUUCUGGAAUCACUGCACUCCCUGGAGAAGGCCACACCCCUUCCUCUUUCAGGCUUUAGCUGCGGCAUCUGUAAAAUGGUGAUCCUAACCCCUGUCCUGCCUGCCUUAUGGAGACAGUGAGGAUUAAAUGUGUGUUAGAAAGGAAAGCUCCCUGUAGGUAAGAAAGUGUUGAGCAGACCUCACAACCAAUGCUUUCCGUAUGUGCUUCCAGGAUUUCAGGGAGAUUUUUCUAUUUUCCAUGGGUGUGAUAUGUCUCCAUACAGCCUGGAGCCUAGUAUUUGUGCAGAUAGUCAGGACUGGAAGAGCUCAGAUGUUGGAGAAUUUACUGCAGGCUGGUCCUGUAUAUUGUAUCGGCUUGUCACCUUCCUCGUUCUGCACACUGGAUCUCUGUUAACAUAGCCCCUGACUCUCACAGAACUUAUUGUCAGCUCUAACCCUGUGCUUGUUUUCUGCACUCUGCUGCUAACAUUCCCAGCCCUUGUAUGGAUAGGCCUGGGGCCUCAUGGCACCCUGUUCCCAGGCCUGCAGAAAUCUGCUCUCUGGGAGCACCUCCACCAGACCUGGCUGACCGUGUCCCUGAGCCAGAAGGGGAUUAGAGGCCCCCACUGAGCUGGAGCUGGAGAUUUGGAACAGAAUACCCCCUCCCUUUCAGCUGGGCAAAAAGGAGAAGGAGCAGAGCCAACAGCCCCAGGGCUUCCUGAAGAAACUUUGCACCAGGAGCCUCCCAUUUCCUGGGCUUCUGCUGAUGGAACAAACUUUCCUCGGCCCUUGGCGGCCCAGAUUCUGGAACAGGCUACUCUGCAGUCAGGCACUGUGUGGGGGAAGGGGUGUCAGCCUGGGAUGGCAAGGACAAAGCCCCAGCCCAUGCUGCUCCCCAAUCUCUCCUUCCACCCAACUUGCUCUGUGGCCUCCAGCAAGGCCCUUCUCUUCCUGGGGCCUUAAUUUCCUCAGCUGUAGAAUGAGUCAGGGAAAUAAGAUUGGUCCGGUGAAAUGUCACAGUUGAGUGGGUCUUACAGAGGCAGAUUCUACAUGGAGAAGGGGUGUGGAGCACCACCAUCUUUUCUGAUUCCACUCUCACUUCCCAGCUCUCACAGCCUUAAAGCAAACUCCAGCUGCCCAGACCUCCACUGUGUGCCCUGGGCUCUGGGCCUUGGCUGAUCUGGUAAAUGCUGCCCCCACACGCCAAAAGGACAGAGGAAACAACUAAGAGAGUCCCCAAGGCCCAAGGCUGGAACAAUUUGAGCAACAAAAUACAUCAUGAGAGUAUCAAAUUAUAACUCCUAGAAUAAAAUAAAAAUCCAGGAGUCCACAUGGUUAUAAAUAAGUACCUGAAUAAAUAAAUAAAUGAAGGCAGCUCUUCCUUACAGAAGAGUUCCAAUUAAUAAAUGUGACAUGAACAAGGGAAAUAAAAAAACACCAUUAGAACACCACAGUAAUAAUUAUUGCAGACAAGACGCACUGAUGUAUGCUAAAAUUAAUGGGUGAAAGUUUGAGGAGAAGCAGCAUGUUCGAAUUGUCUCAAAGUAUCUCCCCCAAGAGAUUUACUAAUUAUAAAGGGGAAAGAAAAUACAGUAAUCUGCAGUGGAGAAACCCAGUAGGUGCCACCUUAAUCAAGUGACCAAGUUAACAUCACCAGUAAUAAGACGUAGCAACAUCACCACACGCCCCGAUAGGAUGCACAGAGAAGACAUUUCAUGUAUAUAGUAUUCUUGCCAAAAAAUGCAUAACAUCAAUUUCAUCAUGGGGGGACAAUCAGACUGAGGGGCAUUCUACAAAAUCACCCAUCAGUACCCUUUCAAAUGUCAAGGUCAUGGACGGCAAGGAUGCUCUGAGGAACCAUCACAGAUUGGAGGGGAUUAAGGAGAAUGACAGCUAAAUGAAACGUGAGAGCCUGGAUUGGAUCCUGGAAUAGUGGAAGGAUAUUAAGAGAAAAACUGGUGAACUCUGAAUCAAGUCUGUAUUUUAGUAACAGUAUUGCCCAAUGUUGUUAAUGUAAUGAUUUUGAUAAAUUAUACAAGAUGCUAACAUUAGGGAAAGCUAGGUGAAGGUGUACAGAAACCCUCUGUGCUAUAUUUGUAACUUUUUAAUUUCAAAUAAAAAGUAAAAAAUAAAACUGUUUCAUUC
rnacentral:lncRNA from 10 species